GCUCUUUCCUUCCGCUUCUCUAUAGUGUGCGGGAAUACGUCUCCCUGCCGCCGGAAGUGGCUAGCUUGCUGCGACCGGUUCCGGGCUUGGAGCGGUGUUCAACAUUAUUUCAGAUCACCCAUGUACCAUCUAAAGCCCCAGUCCUAGGUCGUCAUCAUCACCUUCACCAGCGGAGUGCCUCCUGUGUCAAUGUCCACAGCAACCCCUGAGGUCUCUGCUUUUUCCUCCUGACCUCACCAAACAACCAUGUCAUCAGAAUCAAGCAAAAAACGGAAGCCCAAAGUGAUCCGAAGUGAUGGAGCUCCAGCUGAAGGGAAGCGUAACCGUUCUGACACAGAGCAGGAAGGUAAAUACUACAGCGAGGAGGCUGAAGUGGACCUGCGGGACCCUGGCAGAGACUAUGAACUGUAUAAGUACACAUGCCAGGAGCUACAGAGGCUCAUGGCUGAGAUCCAGGACCUGAAGAGCAGAGGAGGCAAGGAUGUGGCAGUUGAGAUAGAAGAUCGGAGGAUCCAGAGUUGUGUGCAUUUCAUGACUCUAAAGAAGCUUAAUCGAUUAGCCCACAUCAGGUUGAAGAAAGGAAGAGAUCAGACCCAUGAGGCCAAGCAGAAAGUAGACGCCUAUCACCUGCAGCUGCAGAACCUGUUGUAUGAGGUGAUGCACCUGCAGAAAGAGAUCACCAAAUGUCUGGAGUUUAAGUCAAAGCAUGAAGAAAUUGAUUUGGUCAGUUUAGAGGAAUUUUAUAAGGAGGCUCCACCAGAUAUUAGCAAGGCUGAAGUCACCAUGGGAGACCCCCACCAGCAAACCCUUGCACGUCUGGACUGGGAGCUGGAACAGCGGAAAAGGCUGGCAGAGAAGUACCGGGAGUGCCUGUCCAACAAGGAAAAGAUCCUUAAGGAGAUUGAGGUGAAGAAGGAGUACCUAAGCAGCCUCCAGCCUCGCCUCAAUAGCAUCAUGCAGGCUUCCCUCCCCGUGCAAGAGUACCUGUUCAUGCCGUUCGACCAGGCUCACAAGCAAUAUGAGACAGCUAGACACCUGCCACCUCCCCUCUAUGUCCUCUUUGUUCAAGCCACUGCAUAUGGGCAGGCCUGUGCUCAUAUGAAAUCCUCCCAGCCCCCUAGACAGGAUAAGACCUUGUCUGUGGCAAUUGAAGGCAGUGUGGACGAAGCCAAGGCUCUGUUUAAGCCUCCUGAAGACUCCCAAGAUGAUGAGAGCGACUCGGAUGCUGAGGAGGAACAGACCACGAAACGCCGGCGACCCACACUGGGAGUUCAGUUGGAUGACAAACGCAAGGAGAUGCUGAAGAGGCACCCGCUGUCUGUCAUGCUGGACCUGAAGUGCAAAGAUGACAGUGUGCUUCACCUGACUUUCUACUACCUCAUGAACCUCAACAUCAUGACGGUAAAAGCCAAAGUGACGACUGCCACGGAGCUGAUCACCCCCAUCAGUGCAGGUGACUUGCUGUCUCCUGACUCAGUCCUGAGCUGUUUGUAUCCAGGGGACCACGGAAAGAAAACUCCAAAUCCAGCCAAUCAGUAUCAGUUUGAUAAAGUUGGCAUCCUGACUUUGAGAGACUACGUACUUGACCUAGGUCACCCCUAUUUGUGGGUACAAAAGCUGGGUGGCCUCCACUUCCCCAAAGAGCAGCCCCAGCACACGGUGAUUGCUGACCACUCGCUGAGCGCCAGCCACAUGGAGACCACCAUGAAACUGCUGAAGACCAGGGUGCAGUCCCGCCUGGCCCUUCAUAAACAGUUUGCAUCCCUGGAACAUGGCAUUGUACCAGUUACCAGUGAUUGCCAGUGCCUCUUCCCUGCAAAGGUUGUCUCCCGCCUGGUGAAGUGGGUGACAAUUGCCCAUGAGGAUUACAUGGAGCUGCAUUUCACCAAGGACAUUGUGGAGGCGGGACUGGCUGAGGACACCAAUCUCUACUACAUGGCACUUGUGGAAAGGGGCACAGCCAAACUCCAGGCUGCUGUGGUGCUGAACCCUGGAUACUCCUCCAUCCCACCCAUUUUCCAGCUCUGUCUGAACUGGAAAGGGGAGAAAACCAAUAGCAACGAUGACAACAUUCGGGCCAUGGAGAGUGAGGUCAACGUGUGCUACAAGGAGCUGUGCGGCCCCCGGCCCAGCCAUCAGCUCUUGACCAACCAGCUGCAGCGCCUGUGUGUGCUGCUGGAUGUCUACCUGGAGACUGACAGCCAUGACGACAGCGUGGAGGGGCCCAAGGAGUUUCCCCAGGAGAAGAUGUGUCUGCGGCUUUUCAGGGGUCCCAGCAGGAUGAAGCCAUUUAAAUAUAACCAUCCUCAAGGAUUCUUCAGCCAUCGCUGACCUCCCACUCAGCCUGUUGUCUCCCCCUAUGCCCGAAGUGCUGUGCCUCUAUUUUCUGCUUUGGCCCACAUGUGGCUCUUGAUAUUCUCCAAAGACAGCUUCUAGAGUUGGCUUGUGGUUCAUUCCUCCAUCUUGAAAGUGCAUCACUCCAGUCUCUGCUUCUAUCAUCCCAUCACUUCCUCCUCCAACUCUGACACCUGCUCCCUCUAGUGAGGAGCCUUGUGAUGACAAUGGACCCAUCCGGAUAAACCAGGUAAUCUCCCAUCUCAAAAUCCUUGACUUAAUCGCAUCUACGAAGUCCUUUAUGCCAUAUAUGGUAACAUUCACAGGUUCCAGGGAUUAGGACAUGAAUAUCUUUGGAGGACCAUUAUUCACCCUAUUACAUGGCCUGAGUGGGGAGAUGUUUCACUUUUCAUCAGAAAAAAAGAGAAUGGAAGCUGUAGAGGCAAAAGCCAAUGGAGACCCACUAGGAUGGAACAUAAGACAUUUUAUUAUGCAACCAUUUGUGUUUUACUCUUCAGUACUUGUUUUCCCACUAGUCUGCGUGCUCCAGAAAAGGCAGAAACACACUUCUAUUUUGCUCGCCUCUAUAUCCCGAAGGCCUUGCACAAGGUUGAUACACAACAGGAGACCAAUAAACAUUUCUUGAAUGAAUUAAUACAUGAAGUUUAGAGUCUGUGAGGAGAAGAUUAAAGUGAAACGUUAAAUUUAAUAAGUAAACCAGAUUUGGGACAGGCAGAAAGCUAUUUUUAUAAUCAUUAAUGUACUGUGUAAGGCUGACAUUUAUAUAUGACUGUUAAAGAAUCUUCAGGCUUUAGCAAAAAACAAGCAACAUGGUGCGCCUGGGUGGCUCAGU